UACAUAGGGUGCGAGCGUUAAUCGGAAUUACUGGGCGUAAAGCGUGCGUAGACGGUAGCGUAAGUCAGAUGUGGAAGCCCCGGGCUCAACCUGGGAACUGCAUUUGAGACUGCUCUGCUCGGGUGCGGAAGAGGGAAGCGGAAUUUCCGGUGUAGCGGUGAAAUGCGUAGAUAUCGGAAGGAACACCAGUGGCGAAAGCGGCUUCCUGGUCCGACACCGACGUUCAGGCACGAAAGCGUGGGGAGCAAACAGG
rnacentral:rRNA from 1 species